UCCGAAGGGGGCUAGCGUUGUUCGGAAUUACUGGGCGUAAAGCGCACGCAGGCGGCUCGAUAAAUUAGAAGUGAAAGCCCCGGGCUUAACCUGGGAAUUGCUUUUAAGACUGUCGGGCUAGAAUCCAGAAGAGGGUAGUGGAAUUCCGAGUGUAGAGGUGAAAUUCGUAGAUAUUCGGAAGAACACCAGUGGCGAAGGCGACUACCUGGUCUGGCAUUGACGCUCAUGUGCGAAAGCGUGGGGAGCAAACAGG
rnacentral:rRNA from 1 species